rfam:Larimichthys crocea isolate SSNF unplaced genomic scaffold scaffold38, whole genome shotgun sequence.
CCACAGGCUCCCUCUGGAGCCACAAAAGGCUUUAUAAAACUUUUUUU